rnacentral:rRNA from 1 species
GACGAACGCUGGCGGCGUGCUUAACACAUGCAAGUCGAACGAAGUGGCGAACGGGUGAGUAACGCGUAAUCAACCUGCCCUUCAGAGGGGGACAACAGUUGGAAACGACUGCUAAUACCCCCUACUGAAGGAGGGGAUUGCGUCUGAUUAGCUAGUUGGAGGGGGAACGGCCCACCAAGGCGAUGAUCAGUAGGCGGGUCGAGAGGGUGAACGGCCAAAUGGGGACUGGGACACGGCCCAGACUCCUACGGGAGGCAGCAGUGGGGAAUCUUUCGAAAUGGAGGGAAGUCUGACGGAGCAACGCCGCGGGAGAGAUGACGGGCUUUGGGUUGUAAAGCUAUGUUAAUCGGGACGCGGUACCGGAAUAGAAAGCCACGGCUAACUACGUGCCAGCAGCCGCGGUAAUAC